CAUGGGCCAGGCUGCUUACAUUUUUUAAUGGCCAAUUUUGGUGGAAUUGAUGAUUGUUUUAGGCUGGAUCGUCUCUAUUCUUGUAUCAACAUAAAUUUUGAAAUAGAUGUCUCGGUCAUUUGGAGGCGGCUCAAAGUCAGGCAGGUAAUGGUUCUGGCCGCAGAGCAGGUGGAGGGUCCUAAGCUGUGACUUCUCUCUGGGAGGUGUGCCGGCAGAGUCACUCAGCCAGGUAAAAAGCUGCCUUUUCAGAGCGCACUGGAUGGAGCCUGGGAAAGCAGAGGUUCAUGUGUGCCCCUGCCCCAAAGCAAAGACUGCAGAAAACCUUACAGUUAAGGAAUGUAUGUCCAACUUCUGGUCACUGUGACUGUGCAGAGGCCCAAGAAAUGGAGGGUUUGGAUUAAUCAGGAAGAGCAGCAGUUGUUGAAUUAUUCUACUUCAUGAGUACUAUGGGAAUGGAUCUUGUAACCUGGAGUGUGUUCGGGGUGCUCCCAGGGAGUUUGAGGAGAUCUACUAAUUCAUCAUAAAAGCAACUGCAUAUAGCGUUUGUAAUAAAAAGCUAAAAACACGUUUUUAUUUCUCUUCUGGGAGAACACAAAGCACUUAUCUA